ensembl:lncRNA PPM1F-AS1 PPM1F antisense RNA 1
UGGCGGCGCCCCCUUGGUGGGGCCGCAGAGCGGAGGAGCAGCAGCUGCCACCGGCCGGAAGCCUGCUGGCUCGGCCGAGAACAAUGGCCGCCUGUCACUGUGGACAGCUGUCUCCCAGGCUAAGGCAAGGCUGCGCUCCCAGGGAAUGCGGGCAGGGAGCCAGGGCGGAGGGCAGAGGACGAGAGCGAGGAGGAGAGCGCGGGCACCCACUGAUGCUGGCGGCCUCGGGUAUUCGCUUUCUCUCUCUUCUCCCACCUUGUUCCUUUUCCCCGGAUGCACGCAUGCACUAGUAAUGCCGAAUUUAGAACAACAGGGAAAGGAAAGGAAAUGGCAAAGGAAGGGAAAGGAAAUGGCCGACAGGAAAUGGCAAGGAAGGGAAAAUCCACUGCAACUCUGCUGCCUGCUGGCCUGUCCAGGGACAACUAUUCAGCUGGGUGGGACGUUGCUACCCCCUUGUGGCACCCCUGCUGCAGCCUGCGAUUCUUACGCCCUGUAUUUCUGGUCUAACAUCAACCAACACUUUGGCGAAAUAUAAUAAAAUGAAAUUACUAGGAGAAUGAAAGAAAGUCACAUGAAAUAAAAGCCCUGCUUUUUAAUGAUUAUAUCCUCUGUGAAAUGGAUCUGCAGCCCUCUCCAUUUCUGGGUUCCCCUGGCCACACCAUGCUUAUGGCUGUCCCAGGAGCAGGCUGACAGACAAGCUUCCACCAGCAUCUAACCAUGGGGCUCAUGGACACCGUAGAGCGUCUCCACCCAACAGAAUCCUGACUUGGGGGCAGCUGAGGCAGGGGGCCCGAGCGUUGAGGGGACCACGCUGCUGCCCCGAGACCUGCUGGCAUGCCACCUGGCCAACCCUGACUUCGCCUGCCCGGGCGCAUGUUAACUGAGUUACAACACUGAGGGCACUUGAACCUGGCUGCAUGACCAGAGAUCGAUCACCUGUGAGAUCCUCUGUGAAACGGGAUAAGCAUCUUUAAUUUCCUGGGCUGUUCUGGAACUUCAGUCAGACAGGACACAGGAGGGUGUCUGCACCACCCACCCCUGCCUCGUGGGCUGACUGGGAACUAUAUGACCUGUGGAGGGCUGUGACCGCCACCCUCCACCUCACUGGGGCCGCAAGCCUUCUCUGCUCCUUGAUUCUGCUGCCGUUGUGAGCGAGGGCCCCAGCACCCUUAGGGACCCCAAUCAAUGGGCUUCCCACAAUGUCGUCACCCUUUGUUGCCUGCUAAGCAGCCCUGGGGCCACCUCAGAAGAAACAGAACUCACAGGUCACAGGGGCCUUUUCCUCCUCGUCAUCGUCCUCCUCCUCUUCUUCUUCCUCCCUGGGCAACUUCCUGAAUUCGGAAAGGUGGGGUUUUGCUAUGUUGUCCAGGCUGGUCUUGAACUCCUGCCCUCAAGUGAUCCUCCCAUCUCAGCCUCCCAAAGCCCUGGGAUAAUGGCGUGAGCCGCCACACCUGGCCGCCUUUGCAGGGAGGAAGGACGCCUGUUUCCCUUGGUCCCGGUGAGGCCAGGCCUCAGCUUCCUGCCCACCCGCCACUGCUGCUGGGGCAGGGAGGCAGUUUCCGGCUGUGGGGACCCAGACAAUGCCUGGCCAAGGGCCACCAUCGUCCUCUUCCUGGACACAGCUCCCGCCUCAUCCCAGGGUCUGGCCUGGGACACGCCCUAGAGGCCCUCAGCCCUGAGUCACUGCACCAUGCAGAUCCACCCUGAUUCUGGUCCCUGCAGAGCAGGCUCCUACACAAGGCAAGAAGAUGCUCCAGGGACAAGCCAAGGUGUAUGCAAGGCCCAGGUGCCUGAGAAACACGUCUCACCGACCUUGGGGCAGGGGCUGUUACAAGAGGCUUAUAGUCUAGUGGCAGAGACAAAAACCACACUCAAAUCAUUAGUGUACGGUAUGCACUGCUCAGGGACUCAAAUAUGUGACAGGAGGCUCCAAACAAGAGCGGAGACAAGGCGUAAAUAGCCCCCUGUGGACUGGAUGUUCUGACUCCUGGAUGGCCUCCAGAAGGAUGCCUUUUACGGUCUGUGAAAGAGCUCAGGGACCAAGAUGCUCAAAGCCCUUCAUGCCCAAGAGCCCCUCCUCAGGCUGGGACACGGGAAGCAGAGCUCGGAGGUGGAACUCGUGACUGUGUAUGGGCACAUGUGAGUGCGUGUGUGUGGACAGCCAGGCUUAGUGUAGACAACGUGUGAGGCUCAGACCCCAAGUGCUGACUACACCUAUGCACAUCCACACCUGCGUGUGAAAGAAGAUGCUAGAAA